GUUUUUCAAAACGCCAAGGCAAGCAGAAGACAAAAAUCAUUUGCCAUAUUUAUUCUUGAAACUAAGCUCUUAAUUAUACAAGUGCAAAAGUGAUCAACUAGCUCAAUACUCCUAUAAAAUUUGACUAAAUAGAGUAUCUCAAAAGUAUGUACAAUAUGAUGGAAAUCCUAACAUAAACUGUCACAGUGCUCAGCCAUGCCACUGUAAAUCAAG